GCUACGGGGGGCAGCAGUGGGGAAUAUUGGACAAUGGGGGAAACCCUGAUCCAGCGACGCCGCGUGAGUGAAGAAGGAUUUCGGUACGUAAAGCUCUAUCAGCAGGAAAGAAAAUGACGGUACCUGACUAAGAAGCCCCGGCUAACUACGUGCCAGCAGCCGCGGUAAUACGUAGGGGGCAAGCGUUAUCCGGAUUGACUGGGGGUAGAGGGAGCGUAGCCGGCAGGGCAAGGCUGCGGGGAAAUGCCGGGGCCCAACCCCGGAACUGCUCUGGAAACUGUGAAGCUGGAGUGCAGGAGAGGUAAGCGGAAUUCCUGGUGUAGCGGUGAAAUGCG
rnacentral:rRNA from 1 species